GUUUGGUGGCGAUAGCGAAGAGGUCACACCCGUUCCCAUACCGAACACGGAAGUUAAGCUCUUCAGCGCCGAUGGUAGUCGGGGGUUUCCCCCUGUGAGAGUAGGACGCCGCCAAGC
rnacentral:rRNA from 1 species